AGAGUUUGAUUCUGGCUCAGAACGAACGCUGGCGGCAGGCCUAACACAUGCAAGUCGAACGAUGAGGCCCCUUCGGGGGUACAUCAGUGGCGCACGGGUGAGUAACGCGUGGGAACCUGCCCUGGGGUACGGAAUAACUACGGGAAACUGUAGCUAAUACCGUAUACGCCUCAUGAGGGAAAGAUUUAUCGCCCUGGGAUGGGCCCGCGUCGGAUUAGGUUGUUGGUGGGGUAAUGGCCUACACAAGCCUGCGAAUCCGUAGCUGGUCCGAAGAGGAUGAUCAGCCACACUGAGACUUGAGACACGGCCCAGACUCCUACGAGAGGCAGCACGUGGGGAAUAUUGGACAAUGGGGGCAACCCUGAUCCCAGCCAUGCCCGCGUGCGUGAAAGAAGGCCUUAGGGUUGUAAAGCGCUUUCAGCGGGGACGAUGAUGACGGUACCCCGCAGAAGAAGCCCCGGCUAACUCCCGUGCCAGCAGCCGCGGUAAUACGGAGAGGCCAAGCGUUGUUCGGAAUUACUGGGCGUAAAGGGCGCGUAGGCGGACUGUCAAGUCAGAGGUGAAAGCCCCGGGCUCAACCUGGGAACUGCCUUUGAAACUGAUAGACUAGAGUCCGGAAGAGGAUAGCGGAAUUCCCAGUGUAGAGGUGAAAUUCGUAGAUAUUGGGAAGAACACCAGUGGCGAAGGCGGCUAUCUGGUCCGGUACUGACGCUGAGGCGCGAAAGCGUGGGGAGCAAACAGGAUUAGAUACCCUGAUAGUCCACGCCGUAAACGAUGUGUGCUAGCCGUUGGGGGACCUAGUUCCUCGGUGGCGCCGCUAACGCUUUAAGCACACCGCCUGGGGAGUACGGCCGCAAGGUUAAAACUCAAAGGAAUUGACGGGGGCCCGCACAAGCGGUGGAGCAUGUGGUUUAAUUCGAAGCAACGCGCAGAACCUUACCAGCCCUUGACAUCCCGGUCGCGGAUUCCAGAGAUGGUCCUCCUUCAGUUCGGCUGGACCGGUGACAGGUGCUGCAUGGCUGUCGUCAGCUCGUGUCGUGAGAUUGUUGGGGUUAAGGUCCCGCAACGAAGCGCAACCCUCGUCCUCAGUUGCAAGCGGGUUCGGCCGGGUACUCUGGGGAAACUUGCCGGUGACAAGCCGGAGGAAGGCAGGGAUGACGUUCAAGAUCCUUCAUGGCCCUUAUGGGCUGGGCCUACACACGUGCUCUACAAUGGCGGUGACAAUGGGCAGCGAAGGGGCAACCCGGAGCGAAUCUCCAAAAGCCGUCUCAGUUCGGAUUGUCCUCUGCAACUCGAGGGCAUGAAGGCGGAAUCGCUAGUAAUCAUGGAUCAGCAUGCCACGGUGAAUACGUUCCCGGGCCUUGUACACACCGCCCGUCACACCAUGGAAGUUGGGGGCGCCCGAAGCCAGAUAGCUAACCUUUUGGAAGCGUCUGUCGAAGGUGAAAUCAAUAACUGGGGUGAAGUCGUAACAAGGUAGCC
rnacentral:rRNA from 1 species